rnacentral:lncRNA from 1 species
CCCAUUUAACCAGAAAAUCACGCGUUUUCUUUUCGGAAAUCCCCCAUUUAAGCGAAAAUCACGUGUUUUCUCUCCGAGAAUCCAACACUUAAGCGAAAAUCACGCGUUUUCUCAAAUCCCACAUUUAAGCGAAAGUCACGCGUUUUCUCUUCGCAAAUCCCCCAUUUAACCAGAAAACCAAGCAUUUUCUCUUCGCAAAUCCCCCAUUUUACCAGAAAAACACGCGUUUUCUCUUCGAAAAUCCCCCAUUUAACCCGAAAAUCACGCGUUUUCCCUUCGCAAAUCCCCCAAUUAACACAAAAAACCACGAGUUUUCUCUUCAGAAAUCCCACAUUUAAGCGAAAAUCACACGUUUUCCCUUCGCAAAACCCCCAUUUAAGUGAAAAUCUCGCGUUUUCUCUUUGAGAAUCGUCAAUUUAAGUGAAAAUCAAGCGUUUUCUCUUUGAGAAUCCCCCAUUUAAGUGAAGAUCACGAAUUUUCUCUUCUCAAAUACCCCAUUUAAGCGAAAAUCACGCGUUUUCUCUUCGGAAAUCCCCCAUUUAACUUGAAAAUCACGCGUUUUCUCUUCGGAAAUCCCCCAUUUAAGCGAAAAUCACGCGUUUUCUCUUCGAGAAUCCAACAUUUAAGCGAAAAUCAUGUGUUUUCUCAAAUCCCCCAUUUAAGCGAAAAUCACGCGUUUUCUCUUCGCAAAUCCCCCAUUAACACAAAAAACCAUGAGUUUUCUCUUCAGAAAUCCCCCAUUUAAGCGAAAAUCACACGUUUUCCCUUCGCAAAACCCCCAUUUAACCGAAAAUCACGCGUUUUCUCUUCGCAAAUCCCCCAAUUAACACAAAAAAACACGAGUUUUCUCUUCAGAAAUCCCACAUUUAAGCGAAAAUCACACGUUUUCCCUUCGCAAAACCCCCAUUUAAGUGAAAAUCUCAGCGUUUUCUCUUUGAGAAUCGUCAAUUUAAGUGAAAAUCAAGCGUUUUCUCUUUGCGAAUCCCCCAUUUAAGUGAAGAUCACGAAUUUUCUCUUCUCAAAUACCCCAUUUAAGCGAAAAUCACGCGUUUUCUCUUCGCGAAUCCCCCAUUUAACUUGAAAAUCACGCGUUUUCUCUUCGGAAAUCCCCCAUUUAACCAGAAAAUCACGCGUUUUCACUUCGAGAAUCCAACAUUUAAGUGAAAAUCAUGUGUUUUCUCAAAUCCCCCAUUUAAGCGAAAAUCACUCGUUUUCUCUUCGCAAAUCCCGCAAUUAACACAAAAAACCAUGAGUUUUCUCUUCGAAAAUCCCCCAUUUAACCCGAUAAUCGCACAUUUUCAAUUUGCAAGUCCCCCAUUUAAGCGAAAAACACGCGUUUUCUCUUCGCAAAUCCCCCAUUUAACCAGAAAAUCACGCGUUUUCUUUUCG